rnacentral:lncRNA from 1 species
AGUGUCACUCACCUGAUUCGGUGGAGGAUGAUCCACGCUGUAAGGCUUCACUCGCCGAGAUCCUUUGGGAUUCUCGCAUGGGCCCGUGAUUUGGAGCACCCACGAGGUCACCCUCUGCUCAGUCAUGCCCACCACGUUGGUCCGAGUGGAAUCUUCGGGCCCCGUGUAAUGCCACAUGGCAUGGUCGCGAGCCUGCAGAGGCUGGAUCCGCCGACCAAGGAAGACCUCCAGCAAGUCUAUGCCGGUGACCCCCCUCCUGACGACGUCCACGAGUGCCUCGACCAAGGGCUGAAUGUCGAUCUUCUCCGCCUUCGAGAGCGCGAGUUGCUUAGGCGGAGCGGGCCGAUCUAAACUAAAAGGAGGCAGCCCAGUCGACGCAUUCGGACAGGCGAUAUCCUGGCAGUAGAACCACGUCGACUGCCAGUUCCUGACCGAC